UACGAAGGGGGCUAGCGUUGCUCGGAAUCACUGGGCGUAAAAGGGUGCGUAGGCGGGUCUUUUAAGUCAGGGGGUGAAAUCCUGGAGCUCAACUCCAGAACUGCCUUUGAUACUGAAGAUCUUGAGUUCGGAGAGGUGAGUGGAACUGCGAGUGUAGAGGUGAAAUUCGUAGAUAUUCGCAAGAACACCAGUGGCGAAGGCGGCUCACUGGCCCGAUACUGACGCUGAGGCACGAAAGCGUGGGGAGCAAACAGGG
rnacentral:rRNA from 1 species